ACCCGGCGUUACGUCAGAAAGUGCAGGCAGCGUCUUAGGAGCUAUUCGUAGGCGUCGUUGCCAAACCCGGUUCUUUGGGCUGCUCACGAGCUCACUGUAGCCAAUGCACUAUCCAACUGUCUUUAAAAACAGCGGCAGUAUGCGGUCACCGUUGCAGGCACAAUUACGCGCAAAAUACAACAAGAGAGCGCAGCGUGCAAACAAACAGAGUGGACUGGUUUACGCACGCAGUGUCGCUGAAAACACCAUGGCAUGAUGAGGCAGCAGAGGGUUUUCACGCGCAGGGGUUUCUGCAGCAAGUUUGUCUGUUUAAACUUUUGGUGAGCUUAAAAAAAAAAAAAAAAAAAA